AGAGUUUGAUCAUGGCUCAGGAUGAACGCUAGCUACAGGCUUAACACAUGCAAGUCGGGGGGCAGCAUGUUGGUUGCUUGCAACCAAUGAUGGCGACCGGCGCACGGGUGAGUAACGCGUAUCCAACCUACCCUUGUCCAUCGGAUAACCCGUCGAAAGGCGGCCUAACACGAUAUGCGGUUCACAGCAGGCAUCUAAGGUGAACGAAAUGUGAAGGAGAAGGAUGGGGAUGCGUCUGAUUAGCUUGUUGGCGGGUAACGGCCACAGGCUACGAUCAGUAGGGGUUCUGAGAGGAACGGUCCCCCANAUUGGAACUGAGACACGGUCCAAACUCCGUACGGGAGCA
rnacentral:rRNA from 1 species